GGGGUUGUGGCUCAGCGGUAGAGCGCUUGCCUCACGUGUGUGAGGCUCUGAGUUCGAUCCUCAGCACCA
rnacentral:tRNA from 1 species